UGGAAGAACUGUUACAUCCUCUAGGAUUUGUGAGCUUACAACAUUGGGUCAGGUUACUUUCCUCUUCUCAUUUAUGCUGCCUGCACACCCUAAGUUGGAAGACAAUCUACAGCCUGUGACCCUGCACUGUAAAGGCCUUGUAUACUUGCUCAAAGCCAAGGAAUCUUCCGACAGCUUCAUCACCAACCUCCAGAUGGGAUAAAAUUACUCCUGAGUCCUGCAAGAAUCAACA